UAGGGAAUCUUCCACAAUGGACGCAAGUCUGAUGGAGCAACGCCGCGUGAGUGAAGAAGGUUUUCGGAUCGUAAAGCUCUGUUGUUGGUGAAGAAGGAUAGAGGCAGUAACUGGUCUUUAUUUGACGGUAAUCAACCAGAAAGUCACGGCUAACUACGUGCCAGCAGCCGCGGUAAUACGUAGGUGGCAAGCGUUGUCCGGAUUUAUUGGGCGUAAAGCGAGCGCAGGAGGAUUGAUAAGUCUGAUGUGAAAGCCCACGGCUCAACCGUGGAACUGCAUCGGAAACUGUCAUUCUUGAGUGCAGAAGAGGAGAGUGGAAUUCCAUGUGUAGCGGUGGAAUGCGUAGAUAUAUGGAAGAACACCAGUGGCGAAGGCGGCUCUCUGGUCUGCAACUGACGCUGAGGCUCGAAAGCAUGGGUAGCGAACAGG
rnacentral:rRNA from 1 species